rnacentral:misc_RNA from 1 species
CCCCAUGCUUGCACUUCUUUCCACUUGGAAAUGUGAUCACUCCAUUUAUGAUAGGCUGGCAAAAAGAAAAAUAAAGAAAUCGAAGGAUAAAGACAUCAAAAAGGGGGAAAAUAAUAAAAGUGUCAAAAGAAAAUAAAAUUAAACCCUUUAUUAAGAGCAAUUUUUCUUUCGAACGGAAGAAAUGCUUGUAAUUAAGAACAAUGGAGAGGAGCAGAGGCAGGCAGAGAGCAGAUAAUAUAGAUAUUUGUGAUCUUUUUUUUUUCCUUUUUUUAUUUCACUUUCUUUCUCUCAAAAUAUAUUACCGUAAUCACUAAUUGAUCUUCUCUCUCAAUAGAAAUUUCAUACUCUCUCUCGACUCUUUUCUCUUAGCAAAGCAUGUCUUGCUACUUCUCUGUAUAUCAUUGUACUCAGACAGAUCGAUUUCUAGCAUUUUAGUGCCACUGACGAGAAGAUUGCCUACCAGGGCAUGAACAUCUUCAAGAGGCUAUAUUUGGACUUCCCCAUCACAGCUCCAUCAUUUCUGAUCGGAGAGCUGAAAGAUGGACAGGAACAGGUUGGAUUUAAGAUUGCAUCACUCUGGAUCAACACAAUCUGAGGAAUCAGCGUUAGAUUUGGAAAGAAACUGUUGCAAUCAUCCUAAUUUGCACUGGUCAAGUCCAUCUUCACUUCAGCCCUUUGCAUCAGGUGGUCAACACUCUGAAAGUAAUGCUGCCUACUUCUCUUGGCCUACUCUGAGUCGAUUAAAUGAUACAGCAGAAGAUAGAGCAAACUAUUUUGGAAACCUUCAGAAGGGGGUGCUGCCAGAAACUCUUGGGAGGUUGCCAUCAGGGCAGCAAGCCACCACCUUGCUCGAGCUGAUGACCAUUAGGGCAUUUCAUAGUAAAAUCUUGCGCCGGUUUAGUCUUGGCACAGCAAUUGGGUUUAGGAUUCGACGGGGUGUCUUGACAGAUAUUCCAGCUAUUCUUGUCUUUGUUGCCCGGAAAGUUCAUAGGCAAUGGCUAAGCCAUGCCCAGUGCCUACCUGCUGCCCUUGAGGGACCAGGAGGUGUAUGGUGUGAUGUGGAUGUUGUUGAAUUCUCAUAUUAUGGAGCGCCUGCACCAACUCCAAAAGAACAAUUGUACACAGAACUUGUAGAUGGGUUAAGGGGUAGUGAUCCAUGCAUUGGUUCUGGUUCCCAGGUUGCUAACCAGGAGACAUAUGGAACCCUGGGUGCCAUUGUGAAAAGCCGAACAGGAAAUCGACAGAUUGGUUUUCUUACAAAUCGGCAUGUUGCAGUUGAUCUGGAUUACCCAAACCAGAAAAUGUUCCAUCCUUUGCCACCUAGCCUUGGACCUGGGGUGUACUUGGGUGCUGUGGAGAGAGCAACCUCAUUUAUUACCGAUGAGCUUUGGUAUGGCAUCUUUGCUGGAACAAACCCAGGUAAUGUAGUUCCAUAUUGUAGAAUUCAUUUAAGGUAUUACCUGCAUCUAUUUUGGCUUACCAUAAGUUCGUAUCUAUGUAAUCUUCCUCCAAAGAGAUCAUGUUCAAGACCCUUCUUGUCAAGCGAAAGAAGGUGUUGCCUUACUGGUUCACCGUAAUGUUUAAAAAGGAAAUUUUUGGAGAUGAAUGGGACUUUUUCUUAAAGAAAGUAAUUUUAAGAAGGGGGGAGGGGUGAGGGCUCAGAAGGUAGAAGAGCUUGGAAUUUUGACCUCUUUGGGAAAAUAAUAUUGUAUUUCACUGGGAGGAUAAAUUUUGAAUUGUAUGCCACAAGGCUGAUCCUUUUGUAAUGUCUUGGACAAUGUUUGUUGGGCAUACAUUUCUGUUGGAACAUGAUGAAUAUAACUUUGAAUUCAUCAUGUGUUUUGUAGUUGAACAACCAUAUAUUACUGAACACUUAUGGAAAUAACAAUUUGUAAUUCCUGUUGACAUAAUGCAUAUCAUUCCCUUGAUCCUAUACAUUUUUAGGUGAAAUUUCAUAGGUAUAAGCAUUUUCUAAUCUUUUCUGUGAUUCACAUUAAUGCCUGAUUUUCAAUGGAUGAAGUGUUGGCAGAUUUCCCACUCUGGUUAUAAUCAAUCUGGCGUUGGUUGAUACUUGGUGAGCUCAAAAGCAAACUUAUAGGUCUGUUAGGGCAGUAGCUCAAACAAGAAUUUUGUCUAGGAAGAGUAUAUUGUGCAAGAACCAUCUUAUUCAAUUUAGCAUCUUGCUUUUCAUAGGAGAUUUUGGUGGAUCAGUUUAAUUGCAAGUUUGCAACUACCUCAGCUGCCUGAAGUAGUUUGCAUUGUCAUUUGGGAAGGAAUCCUAGUGUAAGUUGUCAACACUAGAACAGGAUUUUAAGACCAGUGUUCCAAUAGUAUAUGAUCACCUUUUGACUUCUCUUGAAUUUAUUUCUUGGCAGCUGUUCCUCAAUGAAUAUGUAUAGGCUUGUGAAAUCAUUCAGUGGGGUUUGUUACUGGCUUGGAUUUAAGAUUGAUUUAGUCAAACUCAUUGAAGUAAGGAGGUAAAAGUGAAUAUUUCCAGUGAAUUUGUAAAAGGGAAAUAAGAACAAAUAAGAGAAGAAGGUAAAAAGAAUCUAUGAAAUAAAUCCUCUUUCACCUGGGAAAUUGAGGUCCAUGGACAUUUUAACAAAUGUAGCUACAAAUCUUUUUUUCGGAUGCUCCUCCUGAGUUCUAUACUCUAUAAAGGCGCAAUAUUGGUAUUCCAUUUUUAAAUCCUCGCAAACAGUACAUCUCUUCCCACUUCAAUAUACAUUCUUGGUUUGAAUAUUGUUAUCUAUUAGUUGGAUUUGCAUUAUUGUGUGUUUGGAUGUGCUAACUGCAAUCAUCCAUGAAAUCAAGCUUGUGCUAAUAAUAUUCCAUGGUUUCUUGAUUCGCAUGCGUACCCAUUGUGAUCUUGUACUCCUGCAGAAACAUUUGUGCGAGCAGAUGGAGCCUUCAUACCCUUUGCAGAAGAUUUUAACAUGACCAAUGUAACUACAUCUGUGAAAGGUGUAGGUGAGAUUGGUGAUGUCCAUAGUAUCGACUUGCAGUCUCCAAUUAACAGUCUCAUUGGAAGGCAGGUUGUCAAAGUUGGAAGAAGCUCCGGCUUGACUACUGGAACCAUAAUGGCAUAUGCUCUAGAAUAUAAUGAUGAAAAAGGAAUUUGUUUCUUUACUGAUUUUCUUGUUGUUGGAGAGAACCAGCAGCCAUUUGAUCUUGAAGGUGAUAGUGGAAGCCUCAUUCUCUUGACAGGUCAGAAUGGUAACAGACCAAGGCCAGUUGGGAUUAUUUGGGGUGGGACAGCUAAUCGAGGUAGGUUGAAGCUUAAAGUUGGCCUACCCCCAGAAAACUGGACUAGUGGAGUUGAUCUUGGGCGCCUGCUUGACCUCCUUGAACUUGAUCUCAUCACUACCAAUGAAGGGCUUCAAGCUGCAGUGCAGGAUCAAAGAAAUGCAUCUGCAGCGGGAUUAGAUUCUACAGUGGGGGAGUCAUCUCCACCUGAUCGGGUGCUAUCGAAAGUUAGAAUUGAAGAAAACUUUGGGCCUCUAAAUUUAAAUAUUCAGCAAGUUUUAGUUGAAGGAGAAUCCCAACAAGGACUGACUAGACCUUUCCUUCACGCCGAGUUUCAUAUAGAAGAUGGGGUAGAAGCAGUUCCGAAUGUGGAACACCAGUUCAUUUCAAGUUUUGCAGGGAGAUCUCCAGUUCACGAAAAAAACCAACUGGAAAAUGUGGAAUUAAAAAACCUCUCAGAAUUAAAGAAUGGCUCGGAUGAGGAGAUAUAUGUAUCAUUGCAGCUGGGUGAGCCCGAACCAAAGAGAAGAAGACAAUCAGAUGAGUCUUUUAGUCAUUGAAGAAUCCAAAUUAAGGAACAAGGGGAUUUCCAAUGUGGCUUGGAGAAACUCCUUUCAAAGAUGAGCUUGCAAGGCUGUCUCCUUGUACUUGCUUGGACUUUAAAAUUCUAAGUUGUAAGUAUCCUGAAGCAUUAAAUUGCAAAAAAGGAAAUUUUAAGGUUCAUGCCUUAAAGGCUUAAAGUAGGUCAAGUAUCAUUCUUUUUUUCCCUGUUUGGGUCAAGGUUACAAGUUUAGGUUACAUAUGUGGGUCAUACAUCUAGCAGGAAAAAAAAUGUUUAGGCAGUGCCUUUAUUUAAAUGUCUUUCAUUUACCCUUUUUUUUUUUUUUUAAUUGUACCAUAAGUACUCCUAAAAAGUGAGUAUGAACAGCAAGUGAAACAUAAAUGUUAUUUGUGCAAGCAACCUUGGUUUUAACUUUUUU